AGCUGAAGUGGCAUGCUGUUAUACACCACGUUCGCAACCAGCACACCUGGGCUACUGGAUCGUGUGAGCAUGAACCACUUGGUGAUGGAACCCAGGACAAAACGUGGAUAGAACAAGGACUACAUCAGAUCUGGAAAACUUCCAAAAUCACAUACUCAUGUAUGCAGGGAAGCGGUAUUCCUACAACGCAGUAGUGUAUCGGACACGGACCUUACUUGCAGCAAUAGACUACAACUGUCACAAUCACCAUCUCCCUUCAAGAAAUAGAGAUGGACACAAGAUUUACAGACGAUACUACAACAAGGGGUCCAAAUUCUGGAGUGUCUACACAUUGAAGGAGAAAAAGGAUUACUCCUACAUUCCAGACCUGCAGAGGGCCAUCGUUGCAAAGAGGCUGCAAAGUGGAGGUGGUCUUCCUAGGAAACAGACCCUCAGGCCAGAUGAUC